rnacentral:SRP_RNA from 1 species
GCUGGGCGCGGUGGCGCGUGCCUGUAGUCCCAGCUACUCGGGAGGCUGAGGCUAGAGGAUCGCUUGAGCCCAGGAGUUCUGGGCUGUAGUGGGCUAUGCCAAUCGGGUGUCCGCACUAAGUUUGGCAUCAAUAUGGUGACCUCCCAGGAGCAGGGGACCACCAGGUUGCCUAAGGAGGGGUGAACCGGCCCAGGUCAGAAAUGGAGCAGGUCAAAACUCCCGUGCUGAUCAGUAGGGGGAUCGCGCCUGUGAAUAGCCACUGCACUCCAGCCUGGGCAACAUAGCGAGACCCCCGUCUCU